rnacentral:rRNA from 1 species
AGGGGGCCAUCCCGGCUUACCAACCCGAUGCAAACUGCGAAUACCGGAGAAUGUUAUCACGGGAGACACACGGCGGGUGCUAACGUCCGUCGUGAAGAGGGAAACAACCCAGACCGCCAGCUAAGGUCCCAAAGUCAUGGUUAAGUGGGAAACGAUGUGGGAAGGCCCAGACAGCCAGGAUGUUGGCUUAGAAGCAGCCAUCAUUUAAAGAAAGCGUAAUAGCUCACUGGUCGAGUCGGCCUGCGCGGAAGAUGUAACGGGGCUAAACCAUGCACCGAAGCUGCGGCAGCGACACUGUGUGUUGUUGGGUAGGGGAGCGUUCUGUAAGCCUGUGAAGGUGUGUCGUGAGGCAUGCUGGAGGUAUCAGAAGUGCGAAUGCUGACAUAAGUAACGAUAAAGCGGGUGAAAAGCCCGCUCGCCGGAAGACCAAGGGUUCCUGUCCAACGUUAAUCGGGGCAGGGUGAGUCGACCCCUAAGGCGAGGCCGAAAGGCGUAGUCGAUGGGAAACGGGUUAAUAUUCCCGUACUUGGUGUUACUGCGAAGGGGGGACGGAGAAGGCUAUGUUGGCCGGG